CCCGGCAGCGGUGGGCAGCUUAGUGCCCUCCGGUCCAUCCCUAAAUGAACCGGAUUACACACAGUCCCGCCCCCACCCCUCCGACCAGAGUCGAGAGAACACAACCACCAGCCACCUGCUGGCAAGCCUGCCCCUUCCCGCGGGAGGCCCUCCGGGAGCCGGUGCACUCACUGGAGUCGCGGGCAGUUGAGAGCCAGGGCCGUGAGAGAGGCGUCCGUGAGGUUGCUGCAGCCGGAGAGGCACAGCGCCUGCAGCCGGUGGCAGCCGCGGCAGAUGUGCACCACCCCUUCAUCGGUCACGCGCUGCGGAAACCGGGGAGGGGGGCCGUCAGGAGGCGGCGGCACCAGCGACGCGGGGGCCCAAACCGCCAGCUACCGCUGGUCACUCGGGCUGGGCGGCCGGUUACCAGCGUCUCAUCCUAACGACUGACAUGCACCAAGGGCUUCAUCUUCUAACUGAGGGGACAGAGGACACAAAGGAGGGGGAAGCCAGCUGAGGGGACAGCAGAGACCCCAGAGAGACGCGCCGCCCAGCCCCUCGGUACCUGGGUGCAGCCCCGCAGGAGCAGCGCCUUGAGGCCUCUGCAGCCGCGCACCAGCGCCUCCACGCCGUCCUUGGUGAUCUGGUCGCACCACGACAGGUUCAGCAGGUCUCUUACCUGAUCCCCUUCAAGGAGCUGUUCGUGAUGGACACACAGGAAGUCAGAUCCAGAUGCUUCAGCUUGGAACAGAAUCUGCUAAGGCUAUAACACGUGCUGGAAAAGAGCAGACACACUAAAGAUAUUUUCAACCA